AUUGAACGCUAGCGGCAUGCCUUACACAUGCAAGUCGAACGGAGUGGCGAACGGGUGAGUAAUGUAUCGGAACGUGCCCAGUAGCGGGGGAUAACUACGCGAAAGCGUAGCCAAUACCGCAUACUAUUGGAGCGGCCGCUAUCGGAUUCGCUAGUGGGUGGGGUAACGGCUCACCAAGGCGACGAUCCGUAGCUGGUUUGAGAGGACGACCAGCCACGUUGGGACGGAAAAACGGCCCAGACGCCCACGGGAGGAGGCAGUGGGGAAUUUUGGACAAUGGAGGAAACCCGGAUCCGGCCAUCCCGCGUGUGCGAUGAAGGCCUUCGGGUUGUAAAGCACUUUUGGCAGGAAAGCGGUACCUGCAGAAUAAGCACCGGCUAACUACGUGCCAGCGGCCGCGGUAAUUC
rnacentral:rRNA from 1 species